rnacentral:rRNA from 1 species
GAUUAACGCUGGCGGCGUGCAUAACACAUGCAAGUCGAACGAUGAAACUUAGUCGACUUCUUCGGAAAGACACUAAGCGGAUUAGUGGCGAACGGGUGAGUAACGCGUGAGUAACCUGCCUUACACAAGGGGAUAGCCUUUGGAAACGAAGAAUAAUACCCUAUAAAACCAUAAAAGCACAUGCUAGAAUGGUCAAAGUGCUAGCGGUGUAAGAUGGACUUGCGUCUGAUUAGCUAGUUGGUGAGAUAAAAGCUCACCAAGGCAACGAUCAGUAGCCGGCUUGAGAGAGUGUACGGCCACAUUGGGACUGAGACACGGCCCAGACUCCUACGGGAGGCAGCAGUGGGGAAUUUUGCACAAUGGGGGAAACCCUGAUGCAGCGACGCCGCGUGAUUUAGAAGGCCUUCGGGUUGUAAAAAUCUUUUGUAUAGGAAGAAAAUGACAGUACUAUACGAAUAAGGUCCGGCUAAUUACGUG